rnacentral:siRNA from 1 species
UGGAGAGUCUUCUGUCAGAUAAU